rnacentral:rRNA from 1 species
AGAGUUUGAUUAUGGCUCAGGAUGAACGCUGGCGGCGUGCCUAACACAUGCAAGUCGAACGAAGCGCCUUAAGAGAUUCUUCGGAUGAUCUUUUGGUGACUGAGUGGCGGACGGGUGAGUAACGCGUGGGUAACCUGCCCUGUACAGGGGGAUAACAGCCAGAAAUGGCUGCUAAUACCGCAUAAGCGCACAGGAAGACAUCUUCCGGUGUGAAAAACUCCGGUGGUACAGGAUGGGCCCGCGUCUGAUUAGCUGGUUGGCGGGGUAAUGGCCCACCAAGGCAACGAUCAGUAGCCGGUCUGAGAGGAUGAACGGCCACAUUGGAACUGAGACACGGUCCAA